rnacentral:rRNA from 1 species
ACUCCUGCGGGAGGCAGCAGUGGGGAAUUUUGGACAAUGGGCGAAAGCCUGAUCCAGCAAUGCCGCGUGCAGGAUGAAGGCCUUCGGGUUGUAAACUGCUUUUGUACGGAACGAAAAAGCUCCUUCUAAUACAGGGGGCCCAUGACGGUACCGUAAGAAUAAGCACCGGCUAACUACGUGCCAGCAGCCGCGGUAAUACGUAGGGUGCGAGCGUUAAUCGGAAUUACUGGGCGUAAAGCGUGCGCAGGCGGUUAUGUAAGACAGAUGUGAAAUCCCCGGGCUCAACCUGGGAACUGCAUUUGUGACUGCAUGGCUAGAGUACGGUAGAGGGGGAUGGAAUUCCGCGUGUAGCAGUGAAAUGCGUAGAUAUGCGGAGGAACACCGAUGGCGAAGGCAAUCCCCUGGACCUGUACUGACGCUCAUGCACGAAAGCGUGGGGAGCAAACAGGAUUAGAAACCCGAGUAGUCCCAUGAU